GAGGGUAUAGCUCAUUGGUAGAGUGCCUGCUUAGCAUGCAUGAAGUCCUGGGUUCAAUCCCCAGUAUCUCUG
rnacentral:tRNA from 1 species